rnacentral:rRNA from 1 species
ACGAACGCUGGCGGCGUGCUUAACACAUGCAAGUCGAACGGAAAGGCCCCUUUGGGGGUACUCGAGUGGCGACCGGGUGAGUAACACGUGAGUAACCUGCCCUUGACUUCGGGAUAACUUCAGGAAACUGGGGCUAAUACCGGAUAGGAAUCCUUGCUGCAUGGUGGGGGUUGGAAAGCUUCGGCGGUUUUGGAUGGACUCGCGGCUUAUCAGCUUGUUGGUGGGGUAGUGGCUUACCAAGGCUUUGACGGGUAGCCGGCCUGAGAGGGCGACCGGCCACAUUGGGACUGAGAUACGGCCCAGACUCCUACGGGAGGCAGCAGUGGGGAAUAUUGCACAAUGGGCGGAAGCCUGAUGCAGCAACGCCGCGUGCGGGAUGACGGCCUUCGGGUUGUAAACCGCUCUCAGCAGGGGCGAAGCUUGUGGUGACGGUACCUGCAGAAGAAGCACCGGCUAACUACGUG